CCUACGGGAGGCAGCAGUGGGGGAUAUUGCACAAUGGGGGAAACCCUGAUGCAGCGACGCCGCGUGGGUGAAGAAGUAUUUCGGUAUGUAAAGCCCUAUCAGCAGGGAAGAAAGAAGACGGUACCUGACUAAGAAGCCCCGGCUAACUACGUGCCAGCAGCCGCGGUAAUACGUAGGGGGCGAGCGUUAUCCGGAUUCACUGGGUGUAAAGGGAGCGUAGACGGCCGUGCAAGCCAGGAGUGAAAGCCCGGGGCCCAACCCCGGGACUGCUCUUGGAACUGUGCGGCUGGAGUGCGGGAGGGGCAGACGGAAUUCCUGGUGUAGCGGUGAAAUGCGUAGAUAUCAGGAGGAACACCGGCGGCGAAGGCGGCCUGCUGGACCGCGACUGACGUUGAGGCUCGAAAGCGUGGGGAGCGAACAGGAUUAGAUACCCUAGUAGUC
rnacentral:rRNA from 1 species